UUUCCUGGUGUGUCAGUAGAGCUGCUGUCUGCGUGAGACUCUAUCUGAUACUCUUCUGCUGGGAUUGGACUCUUUUGAAAACUGGACUAUAGAGAAAUGAUGCUGAUCUUUGGACUGAUGCUGCUGCUGAAAACUGCUGCAUGUCCUUCAGUCGUUCUGAUCGUUCUGGGAUGUUUCGCUGUAAUUCUUAUUAUUCUGGUUGCCAUCUCAUAUUACAUUUACAAGAAGAAGAAUCGGCUCAAAACGACAGCAAAUGUGGAAAACACCUCGACGGACGCUCAGACAAACAGGAAUGAGAAGGAGCAAGAGCUUCAUUAUGGAGAGAUUACGUUCAGCAGCUCAAACGUUAAACAGCAGCCGAGUAAAACACAAGAGGAAUGUGUGUACGCUCAGGUGCAGAUGAACUAGUGUCAAGACCACCACAGAAACUCAUACAGUCAGUGGACUAGUGUGUGUUCAUACUUUACUGUCGUGAAAACACAACAGGCCAGUGUUUGGCCGCUUAUGAAGAAACACUGGUUUUAUUGCACAUUUCUUUCCUGUGUGGUAACAGAAAAACACAGUGUCUGAUGCAGAACAGAAAUAUAAAAGGACGGACACUGGCCGACUGAAGGGAAUCAUUACUUCUGUGAACAACUUGUGCUGAAUAAAUAGAUAAUGUGUGCUUUAUUUAAUGUCUUUCUGUGACAUACUACGCAAUUAAAAUACACUUUUGUUUUCUGUACCCUUGUGCUGCCUUUUCCUCUACUUUGUCGCCACCCAGUGAACAACAAAACAAAUAGGAAACUUUUUACAGACUGAUGACGUGUUUCCAGUUAUUAACAUUGUAAAUCAAGUAAAUAAAAAACUAAUAUAGUUAUAUAUUUUAUAAUUUUGUAUUAUAUGUUUUAUAGACCUCUACUGCUCAAUAUUAUUUACCUAAAACCGUUGAGAUGGUGUGGACAUGUUUGCAUUCAUUUCAUAAGGUGGGCUUGAAAAACUCGCCUUUUACAGCAGAUUUAGUUUACAAACAACUGACAGUCUGGACCUAAAUAUGGUUUUCAUUUACAAUAAUAAAUCCUAAAAUUCGGCAUUAGUAACAUGCCAUCAGUUGCUCGAGCUCAAGCUCUGAGGAUCUCGUGUUCUUGACUCAUUUUGAAUCAGACUUGCCAUCAGUGAAUUUACUGAAUUGUUUACUGGAGACUCGCUCUGCGUCUCAGUGUGUAUACUUAUACUACGCUCUUAAAGUAUGUACUCUUUUGGUGAAGAAAAAGUACACACUUCUGAGUGUGUAGUAGAAGAGUAGGCAAGCUUUGGGACAUACUAUCACGUCACACAGUUGCGUCUUUAAAGGAGCUCUCUGUCGCACCUGUCACUGUAAACUGGUCUGUCAAUCAUCUCGUCACACUUAAAAUCCUCCACAUUUCAUUUCAUUUAACUUCCUACUGUACUGGAGAGAAAAGAAGUAGCUCGUUGAUCUGCCAGUCGCCGGUCUUUCAUGCAGAGAACUCUGCUCAUAUUUUCUGCAUAAUGAUGCAUUUAAAAGUUAACGACCAAAUGGAUUUUUACAAAAGUUCACAUUGCUGUUGCAGAUUAAAUGUAACACGGAUAACGAUAAAUACAUAUUUUUUUAACCAGGUUAAAUGUUGAUUAUUAGUAACUCAAACCCCAUUCUGUAAACCUCUCUACCUAACCAUCGAUCGCAUGCAUCCGCCACGUUUGUAGUUUUUCUAACGCGUUUUAUUCGUGUUUGUAGUUCUGGACCGUAUCCUUCGCCAAAGCGCAAUGGAUUGUGGGCUAUUUUAACUAUUAGAGUGUGCACAGAUCCACACUUUAAAAAUCGAUCUGAAAUAGUAGACCAUCCAGGGACUUCUGGCAUACUCUUUUCAACACACUAUACUUUGGGACAUACUUUUUCUAAUCUCACAUACUAUUUAGGAUGAAGAGUAUGAACAUUGAGACGCAGGGUUUCUCUGACUGGAUCAAUUCAAUCAGUGGGUGCUUCUCAAUAUCCCUCCUCGUUUCCUCACUCCUCCGUCCUCCUUCCUAUGACCCGGAAACCGAUCGAGCUCAGGACAUCUCAAUUCUCUAAUUGCAUCACGAGGAGGCGAGGAUCGAGGAGUGAGGAGGCUUCCUGAGGAGUCAUGAGCGAGGAUACUCCGUCCGUCCUCAUGUAUUUUCCUUGCAUCCUUCCCUCACAUCCUGAAGGGGUGGAGCUAAGACGCAAGGUAAGGAAGCAAGGAGAUGAAACGAGGAUGCACAAAUAAGAAUUGAGAAGCACCCAGUGAGUUGUUUACUAGAGACUCUGACCAGAUCAUUUGAAUCAUGCCCAUUUUCAGACAUUUUGACUGGUGCAGGAGUCUGAAUUUCCCCCAUAGCUGAUAUAGCACUUUAGAAAUCUCCUUCUGCAAAAAAUAACAGCUAGAAAUACAAAUAGCACUCACUGAUUGAUUAAACAUAUUACUU
rnacentral:lncRNA from 1 species